rnacentral:rRNA from 1 species
AUGAACGCUAGCUACAGGCUUAACACAUGCAAGUCGAGGGGCAGCAUGGUCUUAGCUUGCUAAGACUGAUGGCGACCGGCGCACGGGUGAGUAACACGUAUCCAACCUGCCGUCUACUCUUGGACAGCCUUCUGAAAGGAAGAUUAAUACAAGAUGGCAUCAUGAGUCCGCAUGUUCACAUGAUUAAAGGUAUUCCGGUAGACGAUGGGGAUGCGUUCCAUUAGAUAGUAGGCGGGGUAACGGCCCACCUAGUCUUCGAUGGAUAGGGGUUCUGAGAGGAAGGUCCCCCACAUUGGAACUGAGACACGGUCCAAACUCCUACGGGAGGCAGCAGUGAGGAAUAUUGGUCAAUGGGCGAGAGCCUGAACCAGCCAAGUAGCGUGAAGGAUGACUGCCCUAUGGGUUGUAAACUUCUUUUAUAAAGGAAUAAAGUCGGGUAUGGAUACCCGUUUGCAUGUACUUUAUGAAUAAGGAUCGGCUAACUCCGUGCCAGCAGCCGCGGUAAUACGGAGGAUCCGAGCGUUAUCCGGAUUUAUUGGGUUUAAAGGGAGCGUAGAUGGAUGUUUAAGUCAGUUGUGAAAGUUUGCGGCUCAACCGUAAAAUUGCAGUUGAUACUGGAUAUCUUGAGUGCAGUUGAGGCAGGCGGAAUUCGUGGUGUAGCGGUGAAAUGCUUAGAUAUCACGAAGAACUCCGAUUGCGAAGGCAGCCUGCUAAGCUGCAACUGACAUUGAGGCUCGAAAGUGUGGGUAUCAAACAGGAUUAGAUACCCUGGUAGUCCACACGGUAAACGAUGAAUACUCGCUGUUUGCGAUAUACUGCAAGCGGCCAAGCGAAAGCGUUAAGUAUUCCACCUGGGGAGUACGCCGGCAACGGUGAAACUCAAAGGAAUUGACGGGGGCCCGCACAAGCGGAGGAACAUGUGGUUUAAUUCGAUGAUACGCGAGGAACCUUACCCGGGCUUAAAUUGCAGAUGAAUUACGGUGAAAGCCGUAAGCCGCAAGGCAUCUGUGAAGGUGCUGCAUGGUUGUCGUCAGCUCGUGCCGUGAGGUGUCGGCUUAAGUGCCAUAACGAGCGCAACCCUUAUCUUUAGUUACUAACAGGUCAUGCUGAGGACUCUGGCAGGACUGCCAUCGUAAGAUGCGAGGAAGGUGGGGAUGACGUCAAAUCAGCACGGCCCUUACGUCCGGGGCUACACACGUGUUACAAUGGGGGGUACAGAGGGCCGCUACCACGCGAGUGGAUGCCAAUCCCAAAAACCUCUCUCAGUUCGGACUGGAGUCUGCAACCCGACUCCACGAAGCUGGAUUCGCUAGUAAUCGCGCAUCAGCCACGGCGCGGUGAAUACGUUCCCGGGCCUUGUACACACCGCCCGUCAAGCCAUGGGAGCCGGGGGUACCUGAAGUGCGUAACCGCGAGGAGCGCCCUAGGGUAAAACUGGUGACUGGGGCU